rnacentral:snoRNA from 1 species
GGAUGAAACCACACAUCACCCUUAUGCCUCUGAGAAAAUGAUGUGAACCGAUUGGCCUUGCUGAGA